rnacentral:rRNA from 1 species
ACGUAGGUGGCGAGCGUUGUCCGGAGUUACUGGGCGUAAAGGGCGUGUAGGCGGCCUUUUAAGUCAGAUGUGAAAUCUCAGGGCUUAACCCUGAAACUGCAUUUGAAACUGGAGGGCUUGAGGAUCGGAGAGGGCAGUGGAAUUCCCAGUGUAGCGGUGAAAUGCGUAGAUAUUGGGAGGAACACCAGUGGCGAAAGCGACUUUCUGGUCCUUAACUGACGCUGAGGCGCGAAAGCAUGGGGAGCGAACGGGA